UGCUGUCUCCAGCCUCUCCAGACCUGGCUGGCAGGGGUCAAGAUGAAUGCCUGCAUUCUUCACAGCAGGUGGUGAGCUCACCAGCAGUUUAAUAGAUACAGUGUUUCCAGAACUCAAAGGCUCCCUCAAGUCUUAAAGGAGAUUUAUGGAAGCAUCAUUGCCCACAGCCCCUUCCUGAGACCUCAACAGGGAAGUGGUAAGGGAGGGUUAGAUGGGCUACAGAAAACGACAAGAAGAAAACACAGUGAAGAAAGGGGAGUUGGGGAUUGGGAGGGGAGCCUUGCUUCUUCUCCGUCCUCUGGGAUGAAGAGGCAACUGCAAGAGGAGAAAAAUGAAAAUCCCUGUGCUCUGACCUAAAGCUACUUAAUCGGACUGAAGAACAGCAGGACCUUGAGAAUGUCAUCUGGGUUUUCCUUCCAGCACCCUGAGCUGCUGGAAUAGGCUUAGGUCACCCGAGACCCUCAACUGGAAUGAGCGCGUUGGAAAAUGAAUGAAAGAAUACAAGUUAUUAUUUAAUAUUAGAUAUGUUCUGGGUCUUUAU